rnacentral:rRNA from 1 species
AUACGUAGGGAGCAAGCGUUGUCCGGAAUUACUGGGCGUAAAGGGUGCGUAGGCGGACUGUCAAGUCAGAUGUGAAAUACCCAGGCUUAACCUGGGGGGUGCAUUUGAAACUGGUGGUCUUGAGUACAGGAGAGGUGAGUGGAAUUCCUAGUGUAGCGGUGAAAUGCGUAGAUAUUAGGAGGAACACCAGUGGCGAAGGCGACUCACUGGACUGUAACUGACGCUGAGGCACGAAAGCGUGGGGAGCAAACAGGAUUAGAUACCCUGGUAGUCCACACUGUAAACGAUGAAUGCUAGGUGUAGGGGGUAUCGACCCCUUCUGUGCCGCAGUCAACACAAUAAGCAUUCCGCCUGGGGAGUACGGCCGCAAGGUUGAAACUCAAAUGAAUUGACGGGG